AGUGGGGAAUAUUGGACAAUGGGGGCAACCCUGAUCCAGCCAUGCCGCGUGAGUGAUGAAGGCCCUAGGGUUGUAAAGCUCUUUCAGCGAGGAGGAUAAUGACGUUACUCGCAGAAGAAGCCCCGGCUAACUUCGUGCCAGCAGCCGCGGUAAUACGAAGGGGGCUAGCGUUGUUCGGAAUCACUGGGCGUAAAGCGCACGUAGGCGGAUUGGUCAGUUAGGGGUGAAAUCCCGGAGCUCAACUCCGGAACUGCCUUUAAUACUGCCAGUCUUGAGUCCGAGAGAGGUGAGUGGAACUCCGAGUGUAGAGGUGAAAUUCGUAGAUAUUCGGAAGAACACCAGUGGCGAAGGCGGCUCACUGGCUCGGUACUGACGCUGAGGUGCGAAAGCGUGGGGAGCAAA
rnacentral:rRNA from 1 species